rnacentral:misc_RNA from 1 species
CGGCAGGGGAGAGGAGGAAAAUUCUUGACUGAGAAAAACCGAAGUGGGUGGAGAGAGAGAGAGAAUGGGAUAGAAGUAAAACACAAGAAGGAGACAUUGUUAUUAAAGGCGCACUUGAGGCGCAAGGCGUGCCAGGUGCAAAGCCUCAAUGCCUCCAACACCCAAAGGCAGGCAAUGUCAUCCAGGCGUGCCUUGCACCAGGGACAAGGCAUACCAAGGAACGCCUGCAUUUCAGCCC